CCAGAGCAAGACGAGCAAAAAACAAAACUGAGAAAUCAUCGUAAUUUUUACAAAACAAAAAACAACAACAAAAUUGUUUAUUUGGCAUUAACGCAACUUUUUAUGACCGUAAUUCGUGCAAAUCGCUUUCCUUAGUGAAGGUUAACAUGGAAAUGUUCUUUGGCUGCUCGGCAAGAGAGAGAAACAGAAAAAAUGUCUAUAAAUUAUGUAUUCAGUUGCAUGAACAGUUAGUCGAAGCCAAAAAAAAAUACCACGCCAUAAACAAAUUAGCCAAGCUUGCAGUCUGAAGCAGCUUCCCCUCGCCUUCACCUCUCUUUGAACUCGUUGUGCAAUGCAAAACAGAAACUGAAACAGCGACAGAGAAAAAUCUGUGGAGAAUACCUGCCAAAAAGAAAGAAAUGCUUUAUAGCCACGAUAUAGAAAUUGACAACUGAUAAAUCAUCAGUUACUGCAGGCAAUUGUUAUUUUGGCAUUUUGUCAUUUGGGCGUCAAGGACAAACGAAUAAUUAACUUGGCCCCAAAUGGCUGCCAAUGUCGCAACAGCAGCAGCUGACUCUGAAAUUGAAAUUCUCUCAAGGAAAAAGCAACAACCAAAAAAAAAGCAGGCGACGAUAAAUCAAGCAAAACAAUCGAGUGAGAGAGAAGGGAGACAGCUGAUGAGACAGGACAUGGACAUGGACAAAGGACAAAUUGUUGCACAAAAAUGCGUUGUAAUUGCCGAAAUCAAAUGGCCGUAAUUUAGGUUGACAGUCAACGACAACGACAGCAGCGCAGGACAGGACAGAACAGG